AUUGAACGCUGGCGGCAUGCCUUACACAUGCAAGUCGAACGGCAGCACGGGAGCUUGCUCCUGGUGGCGAGUGGCGAACGGGUGAGUAAUACAUCGGAACGUACCCAGUAGUGGGGGAUAACGCACCGAAAGGUGCGCUAAUACCGCAUACGACCUACGGGUGAAAGCGGGGGACCGUAAGGCCUCGCGCUAUUGGAGCGGCCGGUGUCUGAUUAGCUAGUUGGCGGGGUAAUAGCCCACCAAGGCGACGAUCAGUAGCCGGUCUGAGAGGACGAUCAGCUACACUGGGACUGAGACACGGCCCAGACUCCUACGGGAGGCAGCAGUGGGGAAUUUUGGACAAUGGGGGCAACCCUGAUCCAGCAAUGCCGCGUGUGCGAAGAAGGCCUUCGGGUUGUAAAGCACUUUUGUCAGGGAAGAAAUCUUUCAGGCUAAUACCCUUGGAAGGAUGACGGUACCUGAAGAAUAAGCACCGGCUAACUACAUGCCAGCAGCCGCCGUAA
rnacentral:rRNA from 1 species